GCUUAACACAUGCAAGUCGAGCGAGAAUCGUUUAUUGAAGGCUUCGGCUGGAAAUAGAUGAGGAAAGCGGCGAACGGGUGAGUAACGCGUGGGCAACCUGGCCUUAAGAAAAGGAUAGCCCCCGGAAACGGGGAGUAAUACUUUAUGAGAAUGAGAGAGGGCAUCCUACUUUCAUUCAAAGCGCAAGCGCUUAAGGAUGGGCCCGCGUAUCAUUAGCUAGUUGGUGAGAUAACAGCCCACCAAGGCAACGAUGAUUAGCCGGUCUGAGAGGGCGAGCUGCCACAUUGGAACUGAGAGACGGUCCAAACUCCUACGGGAGGCAGCAGUGGGGAAUAUUGCGCAAUGGGGAAGAACUCUGACGCAGCAAUACCGCGUGAGCGAAGAAGGUCUUCGGAUCGUAGAGCUCUGUUAUCAGGGAAGAAGAAAAUGACGGUACCUGAUGAGCAAGUCCCGGCUAACUACGUGCCAGCAGCCGCAGUAAGAC
rnacentral:rRNA from 1 species